ACCACAUCAGAAACAAUCUACAAGCCGUGGCCAGCACAAGCAGAAGCCCUAAGUGCUGUUGGCAGUGCACAGCUACAUCCCUCUUUGAGACCAUGGAACAGGGGAAGACUUGGAAGGUUGUAACAAUAAGGAAAGAGAGAGAGCAUGUAUUCUUUAUGCUCCAGAAGAGAAGCAAGUGAUCCUGUAACAGGAACAUGCUCUGAAGGACUGUGUCAGACACCAAUGGAUGUGCCCAUGACUAACUAGAAAAUAGCCAUUUCUCCUAGACUGGCUUAGCAAUUGCUCCUUAGUCUGAUUCUGUUGAAAGAUUCAAGAGCUCUGGAUGAAAAUCUGUAGAUGCUGCACAGUAAGAGCAGUCUCCUGUGUUAACUGUAAUGGUGACAUCGCACCAAGCAGGUACUGAGCCUCAUCUGGCUCUAUUUCCCUAUGAGGUGCGUGGGGAGCAUUUCUCAAGAUGGACUAAGACUACUGUACCGAGGAAAUUAAUAUAGCAGGACUCCUCUUGCAGACCUAUAAGCAGUAGCCUUCUAGAGGAAAGAAGCGGUGAGCUCUCUGUUCUCAGAGCACCAGGGGGCUCUGCAAGACAGUGGUUGGCUCUGAGCUGCACUGGGUACAGAUAGUAAGAGAUUAUAGCUCGAGGAAUAAUGCCAUUAGUAUUUUCUCAGGAUGAGUGUGCUGACAGCCACUCACUUCACACAAUUUCAACUCUCCUUCUCCUUCCUGGAUGACCAUCACAGCAACCAUCUCCCCAGCUGAAAAGACUGCUUUUUCCUGAAGAAGAACUUGGUUGCUAAGCAGUAACUGUGUGGGCAUUAGACCUCCACAAAAAUCUAGGAGAUCUGCUUCACCAGAAUGUCAUGGUGAAGCUCAAGCAUCCCACUGAGAUAUGCUAGUUUUACUGCAACAGUUAUAAUAAUGUUGUUUUUCAUAAGGGGUCAGGAAGGAGAGAUUUGUUGUGACCUUGGACAGGUGGAUCAAUAGUGUGAAAUUAAGUUGGAAGUCUGUAGCUAGCUGCGUAACCCAGGUGUCAGGACUGGAUCCAAUAUUGUUCUUCAUUAAUGGUCUGGGCAAUGGGGUAGAAUGCACCCUCAGUAAAUUCAUAGAUGACACAAAACUGGGGAUACUGGCUGACUCAACAAAGGACCAUAUAGCCAUCCAGAGGGACCUUAACAGGAUGGAGUGGUGGGCAGACAGGAACCUCGUGCAGUUCAACAAGAAGUACAGAGUACUACAGCUGGGAAGCAGCAGCCAGAUGCUGGAAAACAGCUCUGCAAAAACAGGCCUGAGAGUUCCGGUGGACGCUAGAAGUGCUGGCACAAAAUUGCCUGGAGAAGCUGUGAGGUGUCCUUCUUGGGAACUCUGAAUGCCACCUGGACAUGGGCAUGGGCACCCUGCUCUGAGUAUCCCUGCUUGAGCAGGAGUUGGACCAGAUGGACCUAGAGGUCCCUGCCAACCACAGACAUUCUGAGAUUCAGUGACUCAGCUGAAGGACAUUUGGACUUAUAAUAGACUUGGGACUGAAAAGGAUAUGGCACUGCUUUCUGCUGCAGACAUGUAGAAUGAAAGACUCAUCUUGUUUCCCUUGAAUUACUGAGUUACACAGAAUUAUGCAGCUCAUAAAAUUUUCCCCACUUUCUACUCUGUCCUGAGAAGCUCCAACUCUCUGAAAAUGCUCUUCCUCUCCCCUCAGUAUCAGUUACAAAAACCGUUAUGUUGGCAUAAAACUUCUGAAGCUCCUGUUGGGGGCAGUAGGGUAAUUCCUGGAGUAAGAUCAGAGAAAAGUAUUUUAAAAAUUUGUCAGUCCUUCUUGUGGAGCAGUACUUGCAUGACGUACUCCCACACAUACACACUUUGUAGAUUGAAGUAGGAGAAAGUGAGAGAGAUUGCAUGCUGCAAUCGUUGGAUUAGACACUUGUAAAAGCAGAGAGCAGUGCUGUCACUACAGGCUGCAGAAGAAACCAGAGAAAAUGUGCUACUUGCUGUAGCUGCUUGUUUGCUUACUCAUAGAUGCUGUUGCAGUUGUUACUUCUGGUUGCAGCAAGAACAUUGCAUGCAGGAUAUACGCAGUUUAAAAGUAUAAAGCAAUCUUGUUGGUUAACACACAAAAGGUAUUUAUCUAACAAGCUGUUAGAUAAAUAUUAGUGAGCUGAUACCCUAAUGAGCCAACAGGAAAGUCUUUGCCACUGUGAUGAUGUACUGCCCCCUCCCUUUCCUUUUUCCAGUCUCACUAUUCCACUAACAGCCUUAUUUGGGCAGGUGGUGAUCACAAUACUGGUUACUUUCUGGUCCUGGCUAGCUGGUAGAGAAGCUGGCACCUUGCUCUGCAGCUGAGGACUAGCCAACUAACCACCCAGAGUGCUGUAUGCAGUCUGGUUUAAACUAGCCUUUUGGGAAAAUAACAUUUAGCUCAAAACCACAAUCUAUAUCUGGUAUGUCUACAAGUCAAUCAUCUUUCCCCAAAAAUAGUGAAGAGCCCCAAAUCCCUCUCCUAUGUGACAGCAGAAUCUCUGCUUGAGUAGGGAUCCCUCAUGAAGUUAUGUCUGCUGCAGAGAUUCCUAACUUCAAGAGACACCUUGCUGAUAAGGUGCCUUGGUAAGAGACUGAUAGCUUGUUAAGCUCUGAGAGUUUCUCUAAAACUAUAUCUUAGUCUGACUGUGCACAUACAACAUAAACCAUUAGACGUAAGCCAUUGUCCAAGUCUGCACCUUGGCUGGCUCCUUACCUCUGCGGUUCAAGGAGUUUAGAAAGCUAGGAGAUUCAUUCUGAGCCUUAUGACUCAAUGAGAGGAUCCUUCGUUAAGUGUGUGCUUAAUCCUAUCCUCUGUGUAGCGAAUCAACAAGGAUACCUUGCCACCUCGAAUCUUAAGACACUUAUUAAUGAUUAAACUUUGUUAAAUCACUAGUAGUACUAAUAAAUAAAGUGCUGCUUCCCUCUUACAAGUGUAUAGUUUCUAUCUACAACAUCUAGGCAAGCAGACAUCAGCCAAGAGAGCUGAUAUACCUUAGCAGAGCUGGCUUGGGUUCCUGGUACAAGUGCCUUUCCCCCAUUAGAGUGGGGAAUGAGAAAGGUCAUUCAGAAGGGACA